GACGAACGCUGGCGGCGUGCCUAAUACAUGCAAGUCGAGCGAGGAACUUCGGUUCCUAGCGGCGAACGGGUGAGUAACACGUGGGCAACCUGCCCUCAAGCCUGGGAUAACUUCGGGAAACCGGAGCUAACACCAGAUAAUCUUUUUCUUCGCAUGGAGAGAAAGUAAAAGUUCAUACUUGAGGAUGUGCCCGCGGUGCAUUAGCUAGUUGGUGGGGUAACGGCCUACCAGGGCGAUGAUGCAUAGCCGACCUGAGAGGGUGACCGGACACCAUGGGACAUGGACACGACCCAGGCUCCUACGAGAGGGAGCAGUAGAGAAUGUUCCGCAAUGGGCGCAAGCCUGACGGAGCAACGCCGCGUGAGUAAAGACAGCCUUCGGGUUGUAAAGCUCUGUACUUGGGGAAGAAACCAAUGACGGUACCCAAGCAGAAGGCCGCGGCUAACUACGUGCCAGCAGCCGCAGUAACAC
rnacentral:rRNA from 1 species